rnacentral:rRNA from 1 species
UUCGCAAUGCCCGAAAGGGUGACGAAGCGACGCCGCGUGGGUGAGGAAGGCCUUCGGGUUGUAAAGCCCUGUCAGGAGUUAAGAAAUGUAAGUGUGCUAAUAUCGCAUUUACUUGACGAAGGCUCCAAAGGAAGUCACGGCUAACUCUGUGCCAGCAGCCGCGGUAAUACAGAGGUGGCAAGCGUUGUUCGGAAUUAUUGGGCGUAAAGAGCACGUAGGUGGGUUUGUAAGUCAGAUGUGAAAGCCUCCUGUUCAACGGGAGAAUUGCAUCUGAAACUGCAGAUCUUGAGUGUAGGAGGGGAGAGUGGAACUUCUGGUGGAGCGGUGAAAUGCGUAGAUAUCAGAAGGAACGUCGGCGGCGAAAGCGACUCUCUGGCCUAUUACUGACACUGAGGUGCGAAAGUUAGGGGAGCAAACGGGAUUAGAUACCCCGGUAGUCCUAACCGUAAACGAUGGGCACUAAGUAGAGGGGUUUU